UACGUAGGAGACGAGCGUUGUCCGGAAUUACUGGGCGUAAAGCGCGUGUAGGCGGAUGGGCAAGUCUGCUGUGAAAGCUCCUGGCUUAACCGGGAGUGGUCGGUGGAAACUGCCAAUCUGGAGGACGGUAGAGGUAGGUAGAAUUCCCGGUGUAGUGGUGAAUGCGUAGAGAUCGGGAGGAAUACCUGUGGCGAAGGCGGCCUACUGGGCCGGACCUGACGCUGAGACGCGAAGGCGUGGGGAGCGAACGGG
rnacentral:rRNA from 1 species